rnacentral:lncRNA from 1 species
GUCUCCCUCUGAUGCCAAGCCGAAGCUGGACUGUACUGCUGCCAUCUCGGCUCACUGCAACCUCCCUGCCUGAUUCUCCUGCCUCAGCCUGCCGAGUGCCUGCGAUUGCAGGCGCGCACCACCACGCCUGACUGGUUUUCGUAUUUUUUUGGUGGAGACGGGGUUUCACUGUGUUGGCUGGGCUGGUCUCCAGCUCCUAACCGCGAGUGAUCCGCCAGCCUCGGCCUCCGGAGGUGCCGGGAUUGCAGACGGGGUGUCUGGUUCACUCAGUGCUCAAUGGUGCCCAGGCUGGAGUGCAGUGGCGUGAUCUCGGCUCGCUACAACCUCCACCUCCCAGCCGCCUGCCUGGGCCUCCCAAAGUGCCGAGAUUGCAGCCUCUGCCCAGCCGCCACCCCGUCUGGGAAGUGAGGAGCGUCUCUGCCUGGCCGCCCAUCGUCUGGGAUAUGAGGAGCCUCUCUGCCUGGCUGCCCAGUCUGGAAAGUGAGGAGCGUCUCUGCCCGGCCGCCAUCCCAUCUAGGAAGUGAGGAGCGUCUCUGCC